UACGUAGGGCGCGAGCGUUGUCCGGAAUUAUUGGGCGUAAAGAGCUCGUAGGCGGCCUGUUGCGUCCGCUGUGAAAUCCCGGGGCUCAACCCUGGGCGUGCAGUGGAUACGGGCAGGCUGGAGGCAGGCAGGGGAGAACGGAAUUCCCGGUGUAGCGGUGAAAUGCGCAGAUAUCGGGAGGAACACCGGUGGCGAAGGCGGUUCUCUGGGACGGUACUGACGCUGAGACGCGAAAGCGUGGGGAGCGAACAGG
rnacentral:rRNA from 1 species